CUGAGACUGCCUCCAUUCGGCCUCAAGCUUUGGCUCAAGCCUUCUAGAAACCUCCAGCUUGGUCAGCCAAAAAGAUCCAUCAGCUGCUAAUGCAAGGACCCACCUGAAGUGCUGGUUCCAGAUGGAUCCCAUGGGAUAAACUCACCCACGAGUUGUCUCCACCAAGUCAUGGGCAGCCCCUGAGUGGUGAGAGACAUUCUGAGAGGAACUCCUCACCUCCUUCAUUUCCCAUUGCGGUUAAUCUCCUGGGGCUCCACUUCCAGCACUGGGCACCUGUUGGACCCCAACCCCACUAACGUGUGCCUGGUGGGCAGCCGUCUGGGAUCGAGGGAGUCAGCAGUGAGCCGUGGAUGCAAAUAGUCCUCUGGCCGAGACGAUGGACUCGGAGCAUGCAGGAUGCACUCCUGCCUCGGGCGCAGAUCCUUCAGGGGCGCUGGGCAUUUCAGCUCCUGAGCGCCCGAGCUGGAGACAAACCUCUGAUACCGCCGCUCGCUUUCCCGUUCCUUUCUUUGUCAUGCACAGGAGCUGUUGCUUUGGCACCUGACCAACAGCAUCCCAGCCUGCAGACAAGGACGAGGAAGACAAUGGAGGGAAGCAAGGGCCAGGAGCAGGGAGCGAGAGCUGGCAGCGCGGAGGCAGGGCCGGGACCAGCCGGUGGCAGUGCCUAAGGAGGAAGAGGAGGAGGAGG